UUUGACUUAUGUUUACGCCCAAGUCAAAGUUUGGUCAAGCACUCUUCUUUUUUUUCCACCCUUCAGCAUUAUCCGCCUUAUCUUUCCAUCCUUAAAGAGAUUUCUGAGCCAUAUUUUUUUUCAUUCUCUUUCUUCUUCGAGCUGAAGCUCUGAACUUCUCAAGACCCCAUCUUAGAUUCAAAAGCAAACCCUGGUCUCUUCUUCAACUGACUUCUUCUUAAUCAAGAACAUAAAGUCAUCAAAAUCAGCUUCAGAUACCCUAUCACAAAAUCGAUUGAACCACAACAACCCUAGUUCGAUAAACAGUUGGAAGCAUUGAUCUGAGCUUUUAGGUCAUCUGUGACAUUUGAAAGCAUCGAUCUGAUAAUCAGAUAAUUCACCUGGUAAUCAAUUUCCCUGUUAUUGUCCCCGCGAGGAUGAAAGAUGUGGUCGAAUCGUGAGGAUACCGAAGCCAUUGGCUCAGAUUAUGAUCGUUACUUGCGUAAUUGAGGACUGCAGAUAGGCUUUGAAUUAGGUUCACCAUUCAAACCAUUCAAUCAGCUGAUGGGUGUCUUUCCAGCUGCAAGUUUCCUUGCGCUACCUGAGCAUUAUAGGAAAUUGAUGAGCGACCCAACUUCACCGAUUAUUGAUUUUUAUCCGACUGGUAUGUUCUAUGGUCUCACAAAUACGUAGUGUUAAAGUCGUUAAGAUUGGCAAGAGGUUUGCAUGGCAGGUUAGAUUCUUAAAUUUCUUGUGUAGAGUGCUGGAUAUUUGGGUUCUUGAUAUCUGUUUUAUGGGAGAGUUGAAAAUCUCAUUUAUACCAAUUACUCGAGAUUCUCUUUUUGUAGGGUAUCCCUAAACUACCAUUCAUCGAUGAAAGUCAUCUUCUUACCAAGCGUAGUAUAUAUUGCUUUGGAUCUAUUACAGGGUUAGCGUAGUUGCUAUUGCCAGGUUCAAUGAAUUUGAGGAAAUGCAAGAAACGGCUUCAUGCAAAAUAUGUUGUUCAUCCAGAUGCAUCUAACACUUUAUUUGUCGAAUGGUUGCCUGCAAAUUGUACAAAACGUGAAUUCUCUCUUAUCUUGCUCCUUUUGUAGGUUUUAAAGAAGUAACACCUAUGAGCAAGGAGUCUCGUCAUUCUGGAGGAGAUCCACUUGUCCUGUGUUUUGUUGAUAUUAUCAAUCUUGUGCAAGUAGCAACGGUGUUGGGCGCCUUACAAUGCGAACACAAAAAGCUUACUCUUUUUCUUUCUUCACUUUAUGUGAAGCUUAUCUCCAUUUUCAUACACAAAUUUACUUUACCAUGUCUCCUCAUUGUUGCUGCUUGCAUAUGAUUCCAAAAUAGUAUAUUUGCAUCGCGAUGGAGCAUCAUUAGUGCACUUAGGUUGAGUGAUAUAGUUUUCCAUCAUUUCUUGGCUGUUUCUGCCAUUUUUAUUUGAAUUGUGGUUUUGUUUUCAUUUUUAUUGUAAGAAGAUAUACUUAAUGACUUAAUACCCCUCUUGCAGGUUACAGACCAAAACCUUGAUAUUUCGCAGAAGACACCUGCUUGUGUACCUUAUGCUUUGCGGCAUUAUUAUUAUCAGUAUUUAUUGUCCAUCGCUGAGGCUGUUGAGAUACAAAUUUGAAUACGUUAACCAUAGAGUGCAAGGCCAGUAUGUCAGAAACAUGUUGUUAGCAGUCGCAGUCAUCUGGCUAAAUAGUUAAGUUGUUGCUUGAUUUUAUAACCUGAUUAUGCCUAUUUUAACAUGCUGAUUUCUCGACUCUACAUAUAGUUAUUUCACCUCCUGUAUUGCAGGACAAGAUCUCAAUUCUUAGAGAAAAUGACACAUUACUAAAAGCAAAGGAAAAGCUGAAUCUUUAGAUGGAUUUUUGCUGAAAAACAAAGAUUUAGCUGACGGUCAAAUUAUGGCACUAACAAAAUCAUUGGAAGCUCUUCAAAAAGAUCUUAAGGACCGAGAGCUUCAGGUACAAGAUUUGAAGAAGUCAUUGGAGCUUCAAAGACAGGAACUAAAUGACUGCAGAGUGAGAUCACUUUACUAAAAAUGCACAUAGAGGGGUAGAAUAUUCUAUGGAAUCACAUCUCCGCGCUUUUGGUGAAAGAGAACGCUGGAAAAUUGAAGUUUUAUUGCGGAUGUUGACAAAGCUGCUUCCAUUCGUGCACUGAAAAGUGAUUGAGACUUGCUCAUUUCCCUCUGCAAUGAGAUCUUUUACAUCUUCUGAAACAUGGGAAUUCUUCAUAAUCUCCUUGUUCGAAUUGUACGCAGGGAUCCCCAACAGCAGAUUGCACUCCUAACAGCGUUCCUGGCAAAGGUGAAUAAGUCUUUUGUUUGUGACAUUAGUACUGAAACAUCAAGUUGGUUAUUAUGCGGGUAUUUGGGCUUAAGUCAAAAAGCAGUACUCUGGUGAUAUUUUAGAAGCAGUUGAAUCUUUGCUGAGGAGAUUGGUUAAGCAAGCGGAGUCUGGUGAUACUUCUGGUGAUAUUUAGUCUUUCUUUCCCUAUUUUUCAAUGCCUCUGUCAGUUGACACAAACUAGGUUACCCAUCCAUUUUAAAAACAUCACAUAGAUCGAAUAUUGUAUGUCAGUCACAACAUACAUAAGUUUACUUGUGUACAUUCAAUUGAAGAAUCCUUUCUUUUAUGAUAAU